AUACGUAGGUGGCGAGCGUUGUCCGGAUUUACUGGGCGUAAAGGGCGUGCAGGCGGUUCGUUAAGUCCAGGGUGAAAGCUCCCGGCUCAACUGGGAGAGGUCCUUGGAUACUGGCGGACUUGAGGUGGGUAGAGGAGAGUGGAAUUCUCGGUGUAGUGGUGAUAUGCGUAGAUAUCGAGAGGAACACCAGUGGCGAAGGCGGCUCUCUGGGCCCUACCUGACGCUGAGACGCGAAAGCGUGGGGAGCGAACCGGAUUAGAAACCCCAGUAGUCC
rnacentral:rRNA from 1 species